rnacentral:rRNA from 1 species
UACGGGGGGGGCAAGCGUUGUUCGGAAUUACUGGGCGUAAAGGGCUCGUAGGUGGCCAACUAAGUCAGACGUGAAAUCCCCAGGCUUAACCUGGGAACUGCGUCUGAUACUGGAUGGCUUGAAUCCGGGAGAGGGAUGCAGAAUUCCAGGUGUAGCGGUGAAAUGCGUAGAUAUCUGGAGGAAUACCGGUGGCGAAGGCGGCAUCCUGGACCGGCAUUGACGCUGAUGAGCGAAAGCUAGGGGAGCAAACGGG